AUGGCCGCCGUCAACCUCCGCCCAUUCCACCCCCUCGCGCUCCCCGCGGCAAAAACCACCGCCAGUCCCAACCGCCUCCACCUGUCGGCGAAGGCAAGGGCGACGUGUAGAAGCGCCCGCCUCGCCUUGCUCGUGUGCUCCGCUUCCAGCCCCACCACGCCCGCAGCCCCCUCCUCCUCCUCGUCCUCAGGGGAAACCAGUGGCGCGGCGGCGGCCGUGGCCAGGUGGGCCGCGUGGAUCCCACGCGCCGCGGUGGGCGGGGUCAGCCCGGAGAAGGUCCUCAGGCUCAUCUCCGGCGCUGCGGCCACGCCCAUCUGCCAGUUCGUCGACUCCCCCCGCACCUUCCUCCACUCCGUCGACCCCCGCGUCAAGCUGGUGUGGCUUUUGGCCCUUGUUGUCCUACCAGCCAGGUCGAAUAUCUAUAUGCGGUUUGGUUUGGUAGCAUGCCUUGCUCUUCUUUCAAUGUGGGUUCUGCCGAACCAUGUUUGGAAGGAUCAACUUGGAAGGGUUACUCUUCUUUCAGGCAUCAUAUUCAUAAUGUUGGGAUUUGGUUCCGAUGGCGCGCCUUCGCUAGUCCAGACAAGAACUCCUCCCCCAUCUGUUCUGGGUGUGCCAAAUAUUCCUAGUUCCUUGAGUGGAUAUUCUUACACAAUCAUGAAACUAGGACCACUGCAGUUUACCAGGAAAGGCCUGUCAGUAGCGAGUACAUCGGCAUGCCUCUCCUUUGCGAUAUUCCAAAGUGCAAGUCUCUGCUUAACCACAACCACUCCUGAGCAGCUUGCUUCUGCUUUGUGGUGGUUUAUGAUUCCACUGAAGCUUAUUGGUGCGCCAGUACCCGAGAUAAUACUUACACUGCUAUUAUCUUUGAGGUUCAUUAAUCUAGUAUUUGAUGAGGUUCGCAAUUCUGCACUGGCAAUUGUAACACGUCGGAUUGAUUGGAAAAAGCUGGCCACUAUGGAAACUAUAGAUAUUUUUUUCAACUAUGUCCAGCGAAUUUUCAAAAAUAUAUUUGAUCACGCGGAGCAAAUAUCCAAGGCAAUGGUUGCUCGAGGAUACCGCGGUGAUCCUAGCAAGCACAAGAUCUACUUCCUCGCGGAGUCUUCAUUUGGCAUCGUGGAUGCAUUGUCGUUGCUUUGUUUACUUGCUGUAAUGGGCCUGGCUUCCUUUUCAGAAAGAUUGGUUUGA
rnacentral:rRNA from 1 species